rnacentral:tRNA from 2 species
GCCCGGAUAGCUCAGUCGGUAGAGCAGGGGAUUGAAAAUCCCCGUGUCCUUGGUUCGAUUCCGAGUCCGGGCACCU